CAAGAGGUAGUUUAUUUUAAAAUAUUAAUUUUGGAGAUUAAUGAAAAAGAAGUUCUUUUCUCUUGA
rnacentral:tRNA from 1 species